rnacentral:rRNA from 1 species
UACGAAGGGGGCUAGCGUUGCUCGGAAUUACUGGGCGUAAAGCGCGCGUAGGCGGAUCGUUAAGUCGGGGGUGAAAUCCUGGAGCUCAACUCCAGAACUGCCUUUGAUACUGAGGGUCUUGAGUUCGGGAGAGGUGAGUGGAACUGCGAGUGUAGAGGUGAAAUUCGUAGAUAUUCGCAAGAACACCAGUGGCGAAGGCGGCACACUGGCCCGAUACUGACGCUGAGGUGCGAAAGCGUGGGGAGCAAACAGG